rnacentral:rRNA from 1 species
CCCUUAGAUGUCCGGGGCUGCACGCGCGCUACACUGAAGGAAUCAGCGUGCUAAAACCAUUGUCGAAAGGCAUUGGUAAACCCAUUAAAAUCCUACGUGAUUGGGAUCGGGAAUUGCAAUUAUUUCCCUUGAACGAGGAAUUCCCAGUAAGUGUGGGUCAUAAGCUCGCGUUGAUUACGUCCCUGCCCUUUGUACACACCGUCCGUCGCUGCCCGGGACUGAGCCGUUUCGAGAAAAGCGGGGACUGCUGCUGUCGGGGCUUUCGGGCCUUGGCUUCGGUGGAAACCGCUUUAAUCGCAGUGGCUUGAACCGGGCAAAANUCGUAACA